rnacentral:RNase_P_RNA from 1 species
AUUGCAAGCUGUCUUAUCGUGCUGGUCCCGAUAGCUAUCGGGACAGUAAGGAAAGUCCGGGCAACAUAGAGUGCCGUACCUUGGGAAACCAAGGGUGAUGAUUAUAUCAUUAACAGAAAGUGCAACAGAAAACAAGUAGCCCAGGCAAGUUUACUUCGUCUGGGUCAUAGUGAAAAGGUGCGGUAAGAGCGCACCGUGUUUGGCGGUAACGUCAGCAGCUAGGUAAACCUUGCGGGUUGUAAGGCCACAUACAUUUUUGCUCCCGAUCGCUAUCGGGAUAAGUGUUACUCGCACUAAAUCACAGUUUUGGCUGUGAAGUAAAAAGGGGUAGGCUGCAUAGAUAAAUGAUAAGAGCCUUGAUAAUUAUCAGGGAUACAGAACCUGGCUUAUAGGCUUGCAAUUAUU